rnacentral:rRNA from 1 species
GUCGAGCGAGGUAGCAAUACCUAGCGGCAGACGGGUGAGUAACAUGUGGGAAUCUGCCUUUUGGUUCGGAACAACACGAGGAAACUUGUGCUAAUACCGGAUAAGCCCUUACGGGGAAAGUUUUAUGCACCAUUGGAUGAGCCCGCACUUGAUUAGUUUGUUGGUAGGGUAAUGGCCUACCAAGACUAUGAUCAAUAGCUGAUUUGAGAGGAUGAUCAGCCACACUGGGACUGAGACACGGCCCAGACUCC